GCCUUUGUGGUGUAGUCGUCAGCACGCUCGGCGCGUAUUCGAGAGAUUCGUGGUUCGAUUCCUGGCGAAGGCA
rnacentral:tRNA from 1 species